rnacentral:rRNA from 1 species
UACGGAGGAGGCAAGCGUUAUCCGGAAUUAUUGGGCGUAAAGCGUCCGCAGGUGGCGAUUCAAGUCUGCGGUUAAAGACUGGGGGCUUAACCCUGGAAAGGCCGUGGAAACUGAAACGCUAGAGUGCAGUAGGGGUAGAGGGAAUUCCCGGUGUAGCGGUGAAAUGCGUAGAGCUCGGGAAGAACAUCGGUGGCGAAAGCGCUCUGCUGGACUGCAACUGACACUCAGGGACGAAAGCUAGGGGAGCGAAUGGG